rnacentral:rRNA from 1 species
GAUGAACGCUGGCGGCGUGCCUAAUACAUGCAAGUCGAGCGAACGGACGAGAAGCUUGCUUCUCACACGUUAGCGGAGGGAGGAAGAGUAACACGUGCAUCACCUACCUCUUAGACUGGGAUAACUUCGGGAAACCGGAGCUACUACCGGAUAAUAUUUUGUACCGCAUAGUUCAAAAGUGAAAGACGGCCUUGCUGUCACUUAUAGAUGGAUCCGCGCUGCAUUAGCUAGUUGGUAAGGUAACGGCUUACCAAGGCAACGAUGCAUAGCCGACCUGAGAGGAUGAUCGGCCACACUGGAACUGAGACACGGUCCAGACUCCUACGGGAGGCAGCAGUAGGGAAUCUUCCGCAAUGGGCGAAAGCCUGACGGAGCAACGCCGCGUGAGUGAUGAAGGUCUUCGGAUCGUAAAACUCUGUUAUUAGGGAAGAACAUAUGUAUAAGUAACUGUGCACAUCUUGACGGUACCUAAGCAGAAAGCCACGGCUAACUUCGUG